rnacentral:lncRNA from 1 species
AGUUUUCUUGCACCUCUUUGGUCUUGCACCUCUUGGUCUUGCACCUCUUUGGUCUUGCACCUCUUUGGUCUUGAACCUCUUUGGUUGUGAUAGAACACAAACACAAACACAAUGGUUGCAGCAGUUGUAACUCUUGCAUACCUUGCUCUUCCUCUUCUUUUGUUAAUCUUUGUCCAAAAUCUUAGAAAGGGGAAGGGGUCACGGUUUCCACCUGGUCCAAGAGGGCUUCCCAUAGUAGGGAACCUUCUUCAGGUGGACAGUACAACUCUCCAUCUGCAGCUAUGGGAACUGUCAAAGAAAUACGGACCUAUCGUUUCCCUUAGAUUUGGAUCAAGGAGAGCCAUUGCUGUUUGCACCUCUGAAUUGGCCAAAGUGGUGUUGAAAGACCAUGACCUUGAGUGUUGUGGACGACCUAAAUUACUUGGCCAACAAACACUGUUCUUCAAAGGCUAUGAUGUUAUAUUCUCCCCAUAUGGUGAGUUUUGGAGAGAAAUUAGAAAAAUUUGUGUUCUCAAUGUCCUUAGCCAGAAACAAGUCUCAACAUUUUCACCAAUAAGACGUAGUGAGUUGAAGAAUAUGAUGAUAAAAAUAUCUAGGAACGCUUCAUCUUCAAAGCUUACUAAUUUUACAGAAGCGAUGAUGUCUCUUACGAGCACAGUGAUAUGUAGAAUUCUAUUUGGGAGAAGCUAUGAAGAUGACGCAGCGGAGGGGAGUAGGUUCUAUUCACUACUCAAAGGUUGUCAAGAGAUGAUGGUUGCAUUCUUUUUCUCUGAUUUCAUUCCUUCCUUGGGUUGGAUCGAUACUGUAACUGGAAAGAAAGCUCGUCUUCGUACUAUUUUCAAGGAGGUUGAUGAGUUCUUCCAGGACGCCAUUGAUGAACACUCUGAUCCAAAGAGAAAAGUGAAUCCAGAGAAUCAGGAUGUGACAGAUAUCAUUCUCAAACUGCAGAAGCAGGGUUCGAGUUCCAUAGAAAUGACAGACGACGUGGUCAAAGCCAUCCUCAUGGUAUGGAUAAGCUUCUUCUUUUCCAUUUCUUGUCAUUUACUUUUUUCUAUUUCUCUAACUAACUCCAUUCACUUCUCAUGUCUCUCUUCAGGACUUGCUUCUAGCAUCAACAGAUUCAAGUUCAGCCUCAUUGGUGUGGAAUAUGACGGCACUACUGAAGAAUCCAAGAGUGAUGAAGAAAGUGCAAGAGGAAAUAAGGAGUGUGGGAGGAAGAAAGGAAUUUCUAGACGAAGAUGAUGUACAGAAGUUUCCGUAUUUGAAGGCAGUGAUAAAAGAGACAUUCAGAUACUAUCCACCAGGGCCAAUUCUUGUGCAAAGAGAAACAAAUGAAGCAUGCGUGAUAGGAGGUUACGAAAUACCAGCAAAGACAACAUUGUACGUGAAUGCGUGGGCGAUCCAUAAGGACCCUGAUAACUGGAAAAACCCAUUUGAGUAUUAUCCAGAGAGGUUCUUGGAUAGUAGUGUAACUUAUCGAGGGCAAGAUUAUGAGUUUCUUCCAUUUGGUUCUGGUCGUAGAGUUUGCCCUGGGAUGCCUAUGGCUAUUGCCUCCUUGGAUCUCAUCCUUGCUAAUCUUCUUAAUGCUUUCGAUUGGGAAUUGCCAGCAGGAAUGAAACCAGAUGACCUUGAUGUUUUGACCGAUCCAGGACUCACCGUUCACAAGAGGAAUCCUCUUCAUCUUCUCGCCAAACGUGUUAUCUAAAUCUAUCUUUCUUUUUAUUAUUGUUUGCACCAUACCCAAUCCUACUGCCACAAAGUAGGUAAAUAAGGGCCCAUAUCACUUUUCAUUACCUCCAUCCUCUCUUCUCCCCUCUCAACAUCACCUCACAUCUUGUACUCAUCAUCUUUUACCAUCUUAUGUUAAUGUCAUUUNNNNNNNNNNNNNNNNNNNNNNNNNNNNNNNNNNNNNNNNNNNNNNNNNNNNNNNNNNNNNNNNNNNNNNNNNNNNNNNNNNNNNNNNNNNNNNNNNNNNCUACUAUAAACCUCUCUCACACAUCUCAUUUUUUCACCCUAAUGCUAUAAUGCCAAAUUUUUUAAAUCUAAAAUAUUCAAAAAGGAAAUUACGUUAAUAUAACUUAAUUAAGUAACAAAUAAUUGUUGAAUAAAAGUAAUUAGAUAAAUUUUGAAAUUUAAUCAAAGGGGUGGGAUAGAAAAAUAAUUUAUUAAUCCAUCGAUAUACACAUUGUUCGAACAAUGAUUUCUUGUAUCUUUCAAGAUGGUUUGACAAUAGAAGCAUUCCUUGAGACAAUCUUAUUCCCAUAUAUUCAUUUAAGUCAUAAUUAUUAAUGACUUGGGACAACCUUUAGAACUUCUACUAGUUGUUGGAUUGGUGCAAAGUUAAGGAUCUUUUUGUGUUAGUGGAUAAUCUUUGUCAUUAAAUUUAUUAACUUCAUCCAACUUGUAGACCUGAUUGAUGUACAUGUCGAAAUCAUUGUGGACAUAUUUGCACACUAUAAGCACAUGAAAACGCAGGAGGUGAAGUUUUUGAAACUUCCCACACAAUCACACCAUUGUUCAUCAAGUCUAAUAGCAAAUUUUUCAUCUAGUUGAACUUUUCUUUAGUAGGUCAUCUCCUCCACCAAGAAUUUUGUGCUACUUCUAUCAAAUUCAAGCAUCCUGUGAAUAUUUCAUUUUGAAUGAGCACCUUCUAGUAUCUUUGAUGUAACUUUGAAAUAGAGAUGACCAACAUUAAUCACUAUGGUUACCUUCCUCAUUUUUUUUGUUUAAUUUGUACCUUGUGUGUGUGGCUUUGACUAUGCAGAAAAUGAGAAGAUUCCUUAUUUUUUUUGAAUUUAAUAUAAAAAUUCAACUAAGUUUGUCAAGUGGCGCUGUAUUUUUCUCUUCUCGUGCAAGUGGCUAUUUAUCACUAUAAAAAAAAUCAGAUUUACUAACAAAUUUUUACCCACGAAUCUGAAUUCGUAGGUAAAUUCAACAUUAUAUACGAAUAUUAUUCACUGACCUGAAUUCAUAGGUAAAUUCAGUAUUACCUGUGAAUAUUAACCACGAAUUUGUAUCCGUACUUGUAGAUUAUUACUCAUGUAUCUCUAUCCAUAGGUAAAUUUUACAUUAUCUACAAAUCUAUAUCUAAAAAAAAUCCAAUAUUAUUACUAAUUAUUAAUAUAAAUAUUUUAAUUAACAAUAUUAAAAAUAUUAAAAAUUAUUGAUAUUUAUAGUAGAUUUUAUUUUAAAAUAAAAUAAAUAUAGUCUUAUUUAUUUUUAAAUGAAAAAAAUAUAGUCUUAUUUAUUUAUAGUUUUGUUUUCGAAUCCUGCUAAGUUAAUAAAGUUUUUAUUUUAAAAUGAAACAAAUAUAGUCUUCUUUUUUAUAUUAUGAAUGAGGAGGCAAUGGUAAAAUGAAACAAAUAUAGUCUUCUUUUUAUAUUAUGAAUGAGGAGGCAAUGGCCUUUAAAACGUGUAAUUUUAGAAAUAUUAACCUAAAAGAGUUGUUGAAAGAGGUAUAUAUUUAAAAAAAGGGUACACGUGAAAGAUAUUCCUACAACAAUUGGCUUCUUAUAUUUUAUUUUCACGCAUCACAUGCUUCUGUUUAAGAUCCUCGAUCAUGGGGAUGCGUAAAGCGUUAUUAAUGAACUCACAAACACGGCUUGGUCAUCUGAUGCAAGAUAAUAAUACCAAGCAAGUAAAAAUUUAUUUUUAUUUAAUAUGUUCAUAUUGAAUUACUGCAAGUCAAAUACUAGCCACGGAAGUGAAGUUUUGUUCCCAAUGUUGGUGAGGAUGUGACUUAUAGGGAAUGCAAGAAGAGUAAAAAAUCUCUAUAAUAGAGAAGUUUUGUAUAUAAAAUUUAUUCAAAAUUUACUGAUAUUGAAUAUUGUUAAUUUUUUUUAUCAAUUAUUUUUAUAAAAUAUGAUUAUUAAAAUGAAAUUUAUUAACAAUAAUUUAUUAUAAUUUUGCCUUAAUUUAAUUAAUGUGAAAUCUUGAUGCGUCGAACGUAAGAAUUAAGAAGACUCGACAGGAGAGGAUAAUAAACUCACAAUCUCGAUUAAAAUGGAUUUUUAAUUACUUUAAUACUAACUUAAAAAAUAAAUUUAAAUUUAACACCUUUAUAAUAAAAUAAAUAUUAUCCUUAUUUCUAUAUUAUAAAACUAAUCUUAUUUUUAGUUCGAUAAAAGAUUUCUAAACAAUAAUUAUGAAAAAUUUAAAUACUAAUACUUCAUAGAGAACUAACAAAAUAAGUAAUAAUAGCUAUAAUUUAUAAAUAUUUAAGAUAUAUAUUAUACAAGAGGAUGAAUAUAUAAUUUUAUUAAAAUAAUUAAACAAAAUGGUAAAUGAAAAAUGAAGUAGCCAAAUUAUUGAUUAUUAGACUAUUACAGUUUGAAUGGGUGAAUGGCAGGCAUUGAUAUAUUUUGCCAUGGGCAUCUGAAACGAAGCACAUGGAGGUGAAGAUUUGUUCUGUGAUGAGUUGGUCCACAAGAGACAAAUAAUUAAAAAAAAUCAUUUAUAAUUAAUGUCUCUUCUUCAGUGGCAGUACAAAAUCCUCGCUGGAAAGAACUUGGUCCAGGCAUAAUUCUUUAUCAAUACUUCAUUAAGUUUCAUCUUUAUGGUUGAUAAAUUCUUUAAUGUUUUUGUUUUAGUAAUAUUAUAUUUUGCUGGUUGAUCUGCUUCUCGGUUGACUCUAAUGACAAGUUCUAGUUCUAUUUGUCUCUGUUGGAAUAUGCUAUUUCCUUUGUUACGUUCGAAAACGACUCUGUUGAAACAUGGGGUCCUACGUGUUGAUUGCACUCCGACGAUCAAGUCAGUACAAGGCUUAUAAGAAAUAAGAAGUAACAAGUUUCAGUCUUAGAAAUAACGUACCUUAACCUGGGGUCUCAAAAUCCUUUUAUAACUUACCUCUUGUAACAACUUUCCAUCACGAGAAUCUAAUCUCAACUGAAAGCAUACUCAACACAAAAAUAUUCAAUUUAGGGGCACACUCUCAAGGUGUUGCAAGCAACAAAAUGAAAUAUUUCCUCCAGGGAGUGCAUAAAAUAAUAACAAAAUAACCACCAGGGUAUCAACUAAUGUACAAGCAUCAGGGGUCCAAUUUGUUUACGUUGACACCCUUAAAGUGGUGCUACGUUCCUUUUCAUCAUGCAUGCAACCUAACCCUUACAUGCCCUAGCACACAUGGGCUUAGGUUUAAAAGAAAGACACUUACUUGACCUAGACCCCAUACGCACUAAGCGCACCCCUAGGUCCACAAUUACUCGUUGCUAGUCGCCUAGGCUUUACAUGCGAAGGAUUACCUUAAUUAUACAAAAAUGGACUUACUCAUACAACUAGGACCCAAUUACAUGGCCCGCUAUUAUGACCCAAGAGCCGAGCUGACUUAUGUAUAGCAGGUGCUGAGGUCCGACCACCGAGUGCUGAGCUCUGAGCACUCUGAUCCAUUAUCGGGUAACAUUAUCGGACACCAAGUGUCUUGGGAUCCCAAAACGGAUGACAAUGUUCCUCCACACGAAGUGUUUGACCUUGGUGAGUGGUUAUCUGCGCAAUUGGUUCAGCUUCUUUUCACUUGGUGAAGUACUCAAUCGCACCACGAGAUACUUCAUCUGACGAAUCACCAAGGGGAAAUGACCUAAGAUGUCUAUUCCCAGGUAUGGAAAGGCCAGGAGCUAUGUAUUGACUGCAACUCCUCGGGGGGUGCGUGAUGCCAAUCAGCAUGCUUCUGACACUGCUCACAUCGCUGCGCAUACCUCGUGCAGUCCUCUCUCAUAGUUGGUCAAUAGUAACCAGCUCGAACGACCUUCAAAGAAAGAGCUCACCCUCAAACGUGGCUUCGACAAAUUCUUUCAUGGAGCUCUGCCAUGAUACGAGUGCACUGGUCCCUGCUUACGCAGGUGAGGAUAGGAUGAGCGUAGGCAUGGCGGAACACCUUUCCGUCAACCAGGAUGUAUCUUUAUGCAUUCCUUUUGACCGUCUUUGCCUUUGUGGGUUCUACUGGGAGUACACCAUCAGCUAGGUAGCGCUGAUAGGGUGUCAUCUAGAUCUCCGCUAUGUCGACCUGUAAGACCUCCAACGAAUCUUCUUCCGGUAAGCCAUAAACGCUUAUUUUGGGCACCUUCAGCGUUUCUUGUAUCAAUGAUAGGUGCACCAUUCCUUUCGCCGAGCUAACCAUCAAGGUCUUUAUAUGACUAACCUCUGGUGCUCCAUCUACAAUGGUCCUGGGUGACUUUUAGGGUCUCUUGGAUAACUGAUCUCUGUCGACCUCCUUUACCUGAGCUCGCCAACUUGGCCAGCAGGUUUGCUCAGGAAUUAUGUUCUCUUAGGACAUGCACCAACUCAAAUGUGGGGAAAGUUUCCCUAAAAAGGGUAACAUGUUGAUCAAGGAUGAUCUUGAAGCUUUAAUGUCUCGAAAUCCAUGGUGUUUGAUGGAAGGCUAAAGUUGUUGUGUGUGUGGGUGGGUUUUGGGUAGAAUAUUUUGUAAUCCACUCUUUGUUUGAAUCUAAAACAGUUUGGAAUCAAAACCUUUUUGAAAAAGAUUGUUUUAUGAAGAAGUGGAAAAACAACCUGUUGUUUUGUCGUUUCAAUCGGUUGUUUAUCACUUUGAGAUUUUUGAAAAGGGUUUUAAAUUGUUUGACUUGGUUGACUUUGCUGUCAAACCAAUUCAAUCGGUUGUUUCGAGAAUUCAACCGAUUGUUUGUUGAAAAUCCAUAACAAAGUUUUUGUUAUGUUUGCAAAUCAACGUUAAAUGUUUUCUAACUAAAUAGGCUCCUGCUUUAAAUGUUUUUAACAACUUUUGGAGUAUUUAAAAGAGAUUGUUAUACUCUCUUAAAAAGAGUUAGAUAAUUUGAGACAUUUUGUGAAAGUGUGAAAACAGAUUUGAGUUUUCAAGAUUUGCAUUUAAGCUUUUGGGUUUUCUCAAAGAAGUGGAAUAGGAUUGUUGUAAUCUUUUGAUUUGAUCUUCAUCAGGUGUAAUCCUUUUUGUAUAUCUUGUAUUUCUGAAUAUUGAAGGUGGAAACAAAAAUCAUAGGUUGUUAUGAAUUCUGUGGUGUGUUUUCCAAAGAAAGUGUGUGUCUUGAGGUGUUCAAGGUCACUUCAUUGGUAGUAUGUUUGUAAUCUGGAUUUUGAUUGCAUAGUAGAUACCUAGUGGUUUUCUAGGGACCGGAUGUACCUCUUGGUGUAAGAGUGAACCAAUAUAAAUCUAUUUGUGUGAUUCUGUCAUUCCCUGAUAUCACAUAUAUCUGUUUUAAGUUGUUUUUAUUAACUGUUGAUAAAAACAACAGAUUGAAUCGCAAAAAACAACCAGUUGAUUUUCUGGAAAUAAACUAAAACAGCUUUGUGCAUUGUUUUCCAUAGUUUCCUUGUCUGUGAUUCUUCAUUGGCCUUCAUUAUACCUUCAAAGUUUGCGAAAAUAUUUCAUAAACAAUUAACCCCCCCCCUUUUGUUUAAGGCCAUAUGUUCUAACAUGACAUACCUCAAGUACGAGGCCAUUUGUGGAUCUUUGGCCUGGUACUCACCUGUGACUUACCUGGUUACUAGCAACGAGUCACUUUUUACCAACAAACUUUGAGCGCCCAAUUCUUUGGCUAGCAGCAUUCCAGCUACCAGGGCUUCAUACUCAGCCAGGUUGUUGUUGGCUUUGAAAGCAAAUCUAAGGGCUUGCUCGAUCAAAAGUCUGUUAGGUCCCUCUAGAAUAAUCCCAGCCCCGCUACCUUGCUGGUUAGAGGACCUGCCCAACGAAACAACCCACUGAAAGUCUCCACCGUUUACCUGGGUGGUUUCUAAGGAUAGAUCUACCACGAAAUCGGCAUAUACCUGGCCCUUGAUGGGCCCCUUGGGUUUGUAUUGCACGUCGGACUCUGACACCUCGACUGCCCAAUGCACCAUCCGACCUCUACAUCGGGUUUCUGGAGGACCUUGCGUAUUGAGAGAUCGGUCAUUACAGUCAUUAUGAAACUCUGAAAAUAGUGACGAAGUCGCCGGGCUGCGAACACCACCGCCAAGGCUGCCUUUUUGUUGGCUUGAUAUCGUACCUCCGGCCCUUGUAGCACCUUGCUUACGAAAUAUAUAAGUCUCCUGAUUUUGCUCUUGCACAAUUACUGAGAUGAUUGCUCGAUUUGUAACUGCAAAAUAAAGGCGAAGCGGAGUACCGGGUUGCGGCUUGUAGAGGACAGGUGGGCUGGCUAGGUACUCCUUCAACUUGAGGAACGCCUCUUCACACUCGUGAGUCCAUGUGAAGCGGUUACUCUUCUUCAAACACUGGAAAUAAGGGUACCCCUUAUCCCCUUUUGCUGAUAGGAAUCUGGACAGGGCGAUCAUACACUCAGUCAACUGUUGUACCUCCUUCACACUAGCGGGGCUUCUCAUCCCUAUGAUUGCUCCACACUUAUCCGGGUUUGCUUCUAUCCCCCGUUCAGUGAGCAGGAACCCUAGGAAGUUCCCUGCCUCUAUCCGAAACACACUUCUCUAAGUUUAACUUUAAUUUGUACUUAGCUAUUGUAGUGCUUAUCCCUUUCUUCUGAGGUGACGACCAUGUCGUCCACAUAUGCUUGUACAUUUCGCCCAAUCAUGGGGGUGAGAAUCCUAUCUAUCAACCUCUAGUAGGUACGCCGACGUUCUUCAGCCCCAAACACAUGAAUUUAUAACAAUAGCUAGAGAUCUCUUUCAUGAAUGUUGUCUUGCACUCAUCUCGGGGGUGCAUGCGAAUCUGAUUGUACCCCGAGAACGAGUAUAGGAAGCUCAACAAUCGGCAACCUGAAGCGCUAUCCAUCAAGGAAUCGAUGUUGGGAUAGGCCUUAUUCAGGUAUGUAAAGUCGACGCACAUUCUCCAUCUCCCAUGUUCCUUCUUCACUAAAACCACGUUUUCCAACCACUCAGGGUAUUAGAUUUCCCUUAUGUGGCCAGCCUUCAGGAGUUUCUGCAUUUUGUCCUUGAAAACUAGACAUCUUUCUUCAUUGAUCAGAUCGCCGCCUUCUGGUCAGACUUAAUGAUGAUCAACCCUCCCUGAGGGAGGGCAACUUCAUCUUCAUGUGCCUUGUUGAGGCUAUUGCGCCUACCUAUUCAAGAAUACCGAAUAGAAUUGCUGGAAACUGAAAUUAAACCAAACAAACAACAAGAAAAAGAAGAAGACACAACUAUGAACAACCAAGGCAAGGAUGCACCGAAGCAAAUUCAGAAACAAAAUAGAAAUACCGAACCAAAAAGAAGCUAAACAUGUAUUAGGAGUUUCAUUGAAUAUGGAGAUGAAAGAAAGAAGAACUUAUGGAGAUGGAUGCUUUGGUUUGAUGAUCACGCCACUUAGAGGAUGGUGACUCCAAGAUGAGUGUGCAAGCCGCCACUUGAGAUAACCAUAGAACUCUCAAGAUAAGACUAAUGAGGAAGGCACAAAGCUCUUCAAUUCUCUCUCAAUUUGAGUAGAGUUUUCUUACUUCAAUUUCCAAAUCUGAAAUUUACAAAGAGAGCACCUCUAUUUAUAGCCUAAGGUGCUGGAAUAUAAGCUACACAAAUUCAAAAAACUCCCUCCCAUAAAGCUUCUAGAAUUUGCGCCUAAAACAAAGCAUGAGGAAGGUGUGACCUCUUCCUUCACUUUGGCACCUCCUUAUUUACUCCUACACCUAUCUACUAACACCCCCCCCUAAGACUCCUAACUAAAGACUAAAAGAUGCUUUAACAAUAGAGGUUUCUAAUGUUUCCCUCUAAGCACCUUCAACAAUAUUCUUUAUUAUUUAAUACUUGGCCUUGCCCUUUAUAGGAUGGACUUGGGCUUGGGCUUGGGCUUUGGGCUUGGGCCUCUCUUUAUUUUAUGUCUUCUUUUAAUUUUGAGAAGACUAGAAGGAAGAACUUCAAGUGUGAUGGUGAAUGGCCUCUUCCUUCAUUAAUAAAAUCCUCUUUUACUUGAUUCUCAUCAAGGUCGUCCUCAGCUCCACAUGUCCCUGUACCUCCACCUGGUCUCUAGCGAAGCCAAACAAACAACCAUCAUACGGUUGCAACUGGUUAGGUGAGAACUGUAGGUUAUUAAACGUUACCCAAAACAACAUAUCAACCGAGUUUCCCUGGUCAAUGAGAAAUCAGUGUACCCUUCUUCCCACGGUGACGACAGAGAUCACUACUGGAUCAUCCUCGUGUGAGACCACGUCCUCCAAAUCAGCUCUCGUAAAGCAAAGGUCAGGCUCGGCUGGCUGGUUAGAGCCCCGCGCCUCCACUAUCAUUACCUCCUUUGUGUACUUCUGGCGUUCGAUGCAUGCUGCUGCGCUUUACUGAUACGGCCUCUUCUGCGGCGAUGUGGGAAACAGCUCGUCGUCGUAUCUCCCCAAAUGUUCUUUCUUGAUUUUUUAUUAGUGAGUCGCUAAACGACCCUGACAUGACCUCCUACUGAAAGGCGUGGACCAUCAACGCUUCAUCCUGCGUCUGGAGCUUCACUGUGAACGCCCCAAAUUUGUUCAAAAAGUCCUUCAAUAGCUCUCCCUGCCUUUGCUUUGUGCCAAAAAGGUCGAAAGACACUAGCGGUUGGGCUAGAUUGACAAUGAAUUAUUCCCUUAACAAUCCAAAAAACUAAUCGAAAGAGGUUAUGUGGGCAUUAGGAAGGCCAACAAACCACUGCAAUGUUGUACCUAUGAACGUACCCAAGAACAUCUUGUAAUGCAUAGCAUCCGUUUCAUCAUCUGGGCAUUAAAUGCUGUAAUGUGGGUCUCGGGGUCUUCUACUUCUGUAAACACGAUCUUGGGUAUCAUGAAAUUGGCUAGUAUAACAGUGUCCAUGAUCGCCUGCGAAAAUGGUUUGGGGCGAGCCCUUAGUUAAGAAAUUGGACCUUGCUCCCCUGUAGAGCGUUCGUCAAAGUGUUAUAGACUCCUCCGCAACUCAUCAUUGGUCUUGCGUAGCACAUCUUCAGCUGGUCUUGCCUGAGCACCAGCUCGGCUUGGACCUCCGCCAUGAGUCUCUCCUUUCAUCCUUGGAUGUCUUUAUCAUCUCCAGGAGAACACUCACAGUCUCCAUAAGUUGUUGUAUGGUGGGGUUGUCACUCCCUUCAGAUCCUAAUAGGUCUUGCCUUGUAUUCCUCAUCACAUCUAGGAACUUGAGCACGACUGCGGGUGGGACCUAGUUUUAUCAGGCCCCACAGUAAGCGCCGGUUGACUCUAAUGACAAGCUCUAGCUUCGUCUUUCUCUGCUGGAAUCUGCUAUUCCCUUUGUUACGUUGGAAAACGACUCCGUUGAAAUAGAGGGGACCCUUCCUGUUGAUUGCACUAUGAUAAUCAAGUCAGUAUAAGGCUUAUAAGAAACAAGAAGUAACAAGUUUCAUUCUUAGAAAUAACGUACCUUAACCUGGGGUCUCAAGCCCCUUUUAUAGCUUACCUCUUAUAACAACUUUCCAUCACGAGAAUCUAAUCUCAACUGAAAGCAUACUAAACAAGAAAAUAUUUUGUUCAGGGGCACACUCUUAAGGUGUUACAAGCAACAUAACAAAAUAUUUCCUCCACGGAGUGCAUAAAAUAAUAAGAAAAUAACCACCAGUGUACCAAGUCAUGUACGAGCAUCAGGGGUCCAAUCUAUUUGCGUAGACACCAUCAGAGUGGCGCUACGUUCCUUUUCAUCAUGCAUGAAACCUAACCCUUACAUGCCCUAACACACAUGAGCUUAGGUUUAAAAUAAAGACACUUACUUGACCUAGACCCCAAACGCACUAAGUGCACCCCUAGAUCCACAAUUACCCUUUGAUAGCCACCUAGGUUUUACAUGCGAAUGAUUACCUUAAUUAUACAAAAAUAGGACUGACUCAUACAACAAGGACCCAAUUACAUGGCCAACUAUUCUAGCUCAAGAGCUGAGCUGACCUAUAUACGACAGAUGCUGAGGUCCGACCACCGAGUGCUAAGCUCUGAGCGCUCUUGUCCAGUACAAAUAUAAAAGGAUAUAAUAUAUUAAGUGUCAAAACACUUGUCGUCUCAAUAAGAGUACAUAAUAUAAUUACAAUACCCAUUAUUAAUUUUUAUUCAUAUUUUUGUCAGAACUAAAUUUUCAUCUUCUAAAUAUUACUAGUGCAAAAGGAAGAUUUUACAAUGUGAAUAAAUAGUGGUUUAAGCGGAAGUUCAAAAUGACAAUUUUAAAAUAACAUCAACACAUAAAUUAUGGUUCUAAUUAUAGCUCGUCUAUUUGAAAACAAAUUAUAUAUAUAUUAUGGUUUGGUGGACAACCAUCACCUAUAAUUAUUAUAAUGUAUGACCAACACAAGAGGGCGGUGAAUUGUUUUCACAAGAUUUUCGCAAAGAUUGGAAGUAGAGUGAAAAGUUCUAAAAAAUCAAUCAAUUGUUUUUUUUAUUCAACUGGAUAAAAGUUCACUUUUAUAAUUCUUUAUAGAAAUUCAAAUAGUUAUUUUCUCGAAACAACAGGUUGGAUUGUUUAUACCAGCAGAAAAAGAAUAGUGUCAAAAACAGUGUAUAAGAGAAGGGAUAGAGAGAUUCACAUAAAGAGGUUUAUACCAGUUCACUCUUAACCAAGAGCUACAUCCAGUCCUUAACUAACCAUUGACAAAUCACUAAGCAAUCAAAACAAGAUUACAAACACACACCUAGAGUGUUG